AGCAGUAGCCACGGUAAUACGUAGGGUGCAAGCGUUAAUCGGAAUUACUGGGCGUAAAGCGUGCGCAGGCGGUUUGUUAAGACAGAUGUGAAAUCCCCGGGCUCAACCUGGGAACUGCAUUUGUGACUGGCAAGCUAGAGUCUGGCAGAGGGGGGUGGAAUUCCGCGUGUAGCAGUGAAAUGCGUAGAUAUGCGGAGGAACACCGAUGGCGAAGGCAGCCCCCUGGGCCAACACUGACGCUCAUGCACGAAAGCGUGGGGAGCAAACAGGAUUAGAUACCCCGGUAGUCCCUGUCUCUUAUAC
rnacentral:rRNA from 1 species